GACGAACCGUGCGAACGUUGUUCGGAUUCACUGGGCUUAAAGGGCGCGUAGGCGGGCGGUCAAGUCAGAGGUGAAAUCCUCCAGCUCAACUGGAGAAGUGCCCCUGAUACUGGCCGUCUCGAGGGAGGUAGGGGCAUGUGGAACUUCCGGUGGAGCGGUGAAAUGCGUAGAUAUCGGAAGGAACGCCGGUGGCGAAAGCGACGUGCUGGACCUCUUCUGACGCUGAGGCGCGAAAGCCAGGGGAGCAAAACGG
rnacentral:rRNA from 1 species